AUUAUACCGUGAAACUGCGAAUGGCUCAUUAAAUCAGUUAUCGUUUAUUUGAUAGUACCUUACUACUUGGAUACCCGUGGUAAUUCUAGAGCUAAUACAUGCUAAAAACCCCGACUUCGGGAGGGGUGUGUUUAUUAGAUAAAAAACCAACGCCCUUCGGGGCUCCUUGGUGAUUCAUGAUAACCUCUCAGAUCGCACGGCCUUGCGCCGGCGACGGUUCAUUCAAAUUUCUGCCCUAUCAACUUUCGAUGGUAAGGUAUUGGCUUACCAUGGUUUCAACGGGUAACGGGGAAUUAGGGUUCGAUUCCGGAGAGUGAGCCUGAGAAACGGCUCACACAUCCAAGGAAGGCAGCAGGCGCGCAAAUUACCCAAUCCCGACACGGGGAGGUAGUGACAAUAAAUACUGAUACAGGGCUCUUUUGGGUCUUGUAAUUGGAAUGAGUACAAUUUAAACCUCUUAACGAGGAACAAUUGGAGGGCAAGUCUGGUGGACAUUCAGCUCCCAUUCUGCUGACGCCAGAGAUAGUCGGGCAGUUUCGUCAGAAGCUGUUACGCCGGCUAGUCGAGUACCCACUAAUUGAUGGGAGGGUACCGGCAAGACAACCUGGAUCGGGGAAGGCUAAGGCACUCAGUGCUAUGCUAAUCCCGAGCAGAGCUACCACGGAGCGAUUCGUGGAUAGCCUGUGUAGAGCGCGGUAAGGUGUCGGCCAACUCACGUAGUUGGCUUAAGGGACGUGCCAUUCCCACUCGAAAGAGUGGCUGCCAGCAGAAGCGCCCAUCACGCGAGCGCUGGCAGGUUUCAAACGUGCUUGCAAAGCACGCCGUUGAAAGUUACAUUAAAAGGCCAGCAGCCGCGGUAAUUCCAGCUCCAAUAGCGUAUAUUAAAGUUGUUGCAGUUAAAAGCUCGUAGUUGAAUCUUUGGCCUGGCUGGCGGGUCCGCCUCACCGCGUGCACUUGUCCGGCCGGGCCUUCUCUUCUG
rnacentral:rRNA from 1 species